rnacentral:rRNA from 1 species
UACCAGCUCUCCGAGUGGUGUGGAUGUUUAUUGGGCCUAAAGCAUCCGUAGCUGGCUGGGCAAGUCCCCUGUUAAAUCCACCGACUCAAUCGUUGGAGUGCGGGGGAUACUGCUCGGCUAGGGGACGGGAGAGGCCGACGGUAUUUUCGGGGUAGGGGUGAAAUCCUAUAAUCCCGGAAAGACCACCAGUGGCGAAGGCUGACGGCUAGAACGCGCCCGACGGUGUGGGAUGAAAGCUGGGGGAGCGAACCGGAUUAGAUACCCGGGUAGUCCCAGCUGUAAACGAUGCAGGCUAGGUGUUUGGGCGGCCACGUGCCGCUCUAGUGCCGCAGGGAAGUCGUUAAGCCUGCCGCCUGGGGAGUACGGCCGCAAGGCUGAAACUUAAAGGAAUUGGCGGGGGAGCACCACAAGGGGUGAAGCUUGCGGUUU